rnacentral:rRNA from 1 species
GCGCGCGUGCCUAACACCCUGACAAGUCGAACGAACUUCGCGGUUAGUGGCGGACGGGUGAGUAACGUCAAAUCUGCCCUCAGGAGGGGGAUAACGGUUGGAAACGGCGCUAAUACCCCAUAUGCCGCGAGGUGAAAUGAAUUUCGCCUGAGGAUGAGCUCGCGUCUGAUUAGCUACGUUGGUGUAGGUAAUGGCUCACCAAGGCAUCGAUCAGUAGCUGGUCUGAGAGGAUGAUCAGCCACACUGGGACUGAGACACGGCCCAGACUCCUACGGGAGGCAGCAGUGGGGAAUUUUCCGCAAUGGGCGAAAGCCUGACGGAGCAACGCCGCGUGAGUGGAUGAAGUGCCUCUGGGCUGUAAACCUCUUUUAUCAGGAAGAAGAUCUGACGGUACUUGAUGAAUAAGCCACGGUACAUUCCGUGCCAGCAGCACGACGGUAAUACGGGACGUGGCAAGCGUUAAUCCCGGAAUUAUUGGGCGUAAAGCGUCCGCAAGUGCGCGCCUUUACAAGGUCUGCUGGUCUAAAAAGUGGAACCUUAAACUCCAUCAUGGCAGUUGAGAAAACUGGUU